AGUUAAAUAAUUGAACUCAGUAAAUAUAUUUUUCACUGUAGAGAUUACAAAUACAAUAUUCUAGAAAUAACUUGGGUUUUUGAAUUAUAGAGAUCUGUGUUUCCAUCUUAGCCCUGACAAGUAUGGUGUGACCUUGAACAAGUAAUUUAAUAUCUGAGCUUCAGCUGUUUCCUUAUCUGUAAAAUGGACCUAAUGGCUACCUGGUAGAGUUAGUGAGACUAUUAAGUGAGAUAUAUAAUUAAAUUACCUUUAACUUGAUGAGUGAUCAAUAAAUGGUAGCCAUUA
rnacentral:lncRNA from 1 species